UGGGGAAUAUUGGACAAUGGGCGCAAGCCUGAUCCAGCCAUGCCGCGUGAGUGAUGAAGGCCUUAGGGUUGUAAAGCUCUUUUAUCCGGGACGAUAAUGACGGUACCGGAAGAAUAAGCAUCGGCUAACUUCGUGCCAGCAGCCGCGGUAAGACGAAGGAUGCAAGCGUUAUCCGGAUUCAUUGGGUUUAAAGGGUGCGUAGGCGGGCUUGUAAGUCAGUGGUGAAAUCUCUCAGCUUAACUGAGAAACUGCCAUUGAUACUGCAGGCCUAGAGUAUAGAUGACGUUGGCGGAAUAUGACAUGUAGUGGUGAAAUACUUAGAUAUGUCAUAGAACACCGAUUGCGAAGGCAGCUAACGAAACUAUAACUGACGCUGAGGCACGAAAGUGCGGGGAUCAAACA
rnacentral:rRNA from 1 species